rnacentral:lncRNA from 1 species
GUGGUAAGGCCUUCACCCACUGCUCGUCUUGUCUUGCAGAAGGGGAUCCACACUGGAGGAGAAAACCCUUUCCGUGCAAAGAAUGUUGGAAAGGUUUUUUUGGUCAGCUCUUCAGACACAUGAGUAGUCACAUUGGAGAGAAGCCCUGUGAAUGCAGUGAAUGUAAGGAAGCCUUCAGCUGCUGCUCCGCCCUCCCUCGCCAUCAAAGGAUUUGUACCAGAGAGAAAUGUGCGAAGGUGUGUCACCAGUGUGUCCACCUCUGUCAACAUCAGAGAACAUACAGGCAAGACAUUCUGAAUAUAACUACUGAGGACAGUCUUUAGCCAGAAGAAAAAAUCUUACUUGCCAUCUGAGAAUUCAUAAUGAAGAGGAACACGUAAUUGUCAUGGCUGUGAGAAAACCUUCCGUGACAGCUCUUAUCAUGUAGGGUCAUACUGGGACUAGAAGUAGCUCAGGCUUUCCCGUACUUGUGAGAAAGCGUAGAGGAGGCUGGCCCAGCAGCUCCUGUGCACUUACCGCCACCUUCAGCCACAGGUACCCCUGUGGUUUAUGCUUAGAAAGCCAUCUCAGGAUUAUUUCAGAAAGAAAAGUAAAAAGGAGAAGGAGGAGAUGGAGACAGAGACCAUAAACGGAAAAGACAAAUGCCUUCACAAACCCUUUCGGACUCCCUGCCGGGCCUCUUGCAGUGUCUCAUCAGUUCUAAUUUUCCGUGGGGGAACGUUUGAGAGACAGCAUGGUGAUAAUCUUGUACUUGUGAGGCCUCAGGAUAGUGUGCAGUUUCCUGUUUUUUGGGAAAGAGAGUUGACUCGUGAAGACCCCAGCCUCCUGCCUCCUCUCUCUCGAGGGUGGUAUAUUGUAGUUGUGGCUGUAAUUGUGACUGAGCCACUGGGUUCAAGAGUUGGAGAAACCCCUCCAGAAACAUCUUGGCUCUCAUCAAAGGGUUCUUUCCAUGCCUGGAACCCGGGCUCCAGUUUGUCCUAA